rnacentral:siRNA from 1 species
UGCCGUUAAAUUUCCGUUAACAGA